UGCCAAAAUGAUGGAAUUGGUAGACAUGCUAGGUUUAGGUUCUAGUUCUUCUGAAGAGUAGGGGUUCGAGUCCCCUUUUUGGUAA
rnacentral:tRNA from 1 species